rnacentral:rRNA from 1 species
UCAGUAACACGUGGAUAACCUACCCUUAGGUGGGGAAUAACCUCGGAAAACUGAGGAUAAUGCCCCAUAGAUCUAGGAUGCUGGAAUGCUCCUAGAUCGAAAGUUGCUCGCAAUGCCUAAGGAUGGGUCUGCGGCCUAUCAGGUUGUGGCAAGUGUAAUGUACUUGCCAGCCUACAACGGAUACGGGCGCUGAGAGGCGUAGCCCGGAGACGGACUCUGAGACAAGAGUCCGGGCCCUACGGGGCGCAGCAGGCGCGAAACUUCCGCAAUGCGCGCAAGCGUGACGGAGGGAUCCCAAGUGCCCAUGCUAUGCAUGGGCUGUUCCCUUGCCUAAACCGCAAGGGGUAGUAAGGGCUGGGUAAGACAGGUGCCAGCCGCCGCGGUAAUACCUGCAGCCCGAAUGGUGGUCGCUUUUAUUGGGCCUAAAACGUUCGUAGCCGGUCUGGUAAAUUCCCUGGUAAAUAGCGUAGCUUAACUACACUAAUUCUAGGAAGACUGCCAGACUUGGGACCGGGAGAGGCUAGGAGUACUUCCGGGGUAGGGGUGAAAUCUUGUAAUCCUGGAAGGACUACCAACAGCGAAGGCACCUAGCUAGAACGGCUCCGACGGUGAUGGACGAAGCCCUGGGGCGCGAACCGGAUUAGAUACCCGGGUAGUCCCAGGGUGCAAACGCUGCCCGCUUGAUGUUGGGGGAGCUACCGAGCUUUCCCAGUAUCGGAGAGAUGUUGUUAAGCGGGCUGCCUGGGGAA